GACGUAGGGCGCGAGCGUUGUCCGGAUUUAUUGGGCGUAAAGAGCUCGUAGGCGGCUCAUUGCGUCAACCGUGAGAUCCUGCUGCUCAACGGCAGGUCUGCGGUUGAUACGGGUGGGCUGGAGUUCGAUAGGGGAGACUGGAAUUCCUGGUGUAGCGGUGAAAUGCGCAGAUAUCAGGAGGAACACCAAUAGCGAAGGCAGCUCGCUGGGACGGUACUGACGCUAAGGCGCGAAAGCGUGGGGAGCGAACAGG
rnacentral:rRNA from 1 species